rnacentral:rRNA from 2 species
AGGAUUAGAUACCCGGGUAAGUCCAUACCCGUAAACGAUGAAAUGCUAAGUGUUGGAGGGUUUUCCGCCUUCAGUGCUGCAGCUAAACGCAUUAAGCAUUCCGCCUGGGGAGUACGGCCGCAAGGCUGAAACUCAAAGGAAUUGACGGGGGCCCGCACAAGCGGUGGAGCAUGUGGUUUAAUUCGAAGCUACGCGAAGAACCUUACCAGGUCUUGACAUACUAUGCAAAUCUAAGAGAUUAGACGUUCCCUUCGGGGACAUGGAUACAGGUGGUGCAUGGUUGUCGUCAGCUCGUGUCGUGGAUGUUGGGUUAAGUCCCGCAACGAGCGCAACCCUUAUUAUCAUGCCAGCAUUAAGUUGGGCACUCUGGUGAGACUGCCGGUGACAAACCGGAGGAAGGUGGGGAUGACGUCAAAUCAUCAUGCCCCUUAUGACCUGGGCUACACACGUGCUACAAUGGAUGGUACAACGAGUUGCGAACUCGCGAGAGUAAGCUAAUCUCUUAAAGCCAUUCUCAGUUCGAUUGUAGGCUGCA